CGGCAACGGGUGGUUUCGAUCCACCGACCUUACACCGGGCUUAGCAUGCCGAACGCGCUUCCACUGCACCACGCUGCC
rnacentral:tRNA from 1 species